UGUUAAGCACAUCCGUCUUGUCAAUUUUUGAUUCUUAGUUUGUCAAUUUGGUGUCUUUUUGUCUGUUGGUUCCUUACAUUUAGUUUGACAAAUUGCGCAUUGUUGAACAUCUAAUUACACUUAGUACACGAAAUUUAACUUUUGUGUGCUAAAUCAAUCUAUUUGUUCAUUUUGGUCAGUUUGCAUCUAGUGUUGUUUCCUAUCUUUUCUUCUUAGGUCUUUCCUUGCUUUCCUUAUUAUUUGAAUCAUACAAGCUUGGCUUAUUGAGUCUUUAUUCUGAAGUGCACUUUUGAGAUACCAAGUGAGUGCUUGAAAAUUAAACACGUGAGUUGAGAGAAUUGUGAAUUUUUUCUAUAAUGUCUGGGCAUAAUACUGGUGAUACUUCUGACCCUA
rnacentral:lncRNA from 1 species